CAAUGUUUCUUAUCUUUGAGCACUCUCUCAAGUUGUCUCUUCCUCGUGACGUUACGGGUUCAAGGUAGUCGCCGGAAAUUUCAUACCACCGCCCUAGAAUCUCAGACCGUGCUUGGUUUACCGACCGUUUUCCGGAAAAUCCUGGUGGAACACAGCAGGGCUGUCUUUUUGUUUGGUUUCUACAGGCUAGCGUAAGCAAUUCGGAAACGUUACGCAAAUCAAUUGAUUCCAAGCGUCUUCUUAAACGCUCUCAUUAACAACUGCCCCACUCACACAAUUUGUCAAUCAAUGUAUCUCCCAUUACCCACAUUGUCAAUCUUGACUAUAAAUUGAGUAUGAGAGAAAGCUUUGCAGUUUCAGUUUCAGUUUCAUAUAAACUCUUAGCCCCUCUCCCUUCGUCGUUUCUCUGUGUGUAGCUAUUUUGCUGUUCGGAGAGUUUGAUCAUAUGUACAAAACAGAGGAAUCGUGGCGGAGAAGGAGCUUGAGCUAAUCAUGUGUCGACACAAGAGGAGGACGAGAAUCAGAGUGGGAAAGCAGAUGACAAAGGAGAUACUUUCAUUCUAUGACAGAGAAUUUGAUUACUUGCUCUGUGAUUUAAAGUACGAUGCUGAACAGUUUUUUUUUAUUUUUUUUCAUGGUAAAAUGGGGAUUGUUUAGGAUGAUGAUGAAGAUAGUGUUGAAGUUGUGGAGCUUGCAAGGCAAGGAAGACCUGUGUGGUGGAGAUAGGGACAAUGAUUUUCACAAAGAUUUUAAGGAGGACGUUGAGUGGUAUGCCUGCCUUUACUUUCUUAUGGACGUUACUUUAGGAGAAUAGCUUGGCACCGAGUGAGAUUAAACAACUUAAUGAGCCUAUUGAAAAUAAGAUAACUGAGUGGAAUACUGGAGGGCUUCUCACCAAAAUUGAGGGCUUCAGAGCUUUUAUCCCAAAGCAGGAGAUGGUCAAGAAAGUGAAUAGUUUCACAGAGUUGAAGGAAAACUUAAAAGCAAGAUUUCUUUUUCUGCUGAAUUGCAGUAAACUUUUUGGCUUCACUGUUCUGUGUUUGCUUAGGCUUCUCUGUGUUUCAGGUAGGUCGUCGACUGGUUGUGCAGAUUACGUGAUUGAAUGAAUACAAAAACGACUUGACACAGAAUUAAAAAACAUCCUGGAGAAGCUAUACCUUCGAGAAGGACCUCCUGGAAGGAACUGUUGCCAAAAUCUUACCAUAUGGAGCGCAAGCCAAACUCGGGGAUUGUAGUAGGACUGUAGAAGGUUAGUGUCCAAGUCUAUUGCUUCUAUAACAUAUAAUAAUAAAGGAGUUGUGCUUUUGUUGGUAAGAACCCAGCUUGAUCUGGCUUUUGUUGUUCUUUUUUUUUUGGUUCAGAUAUUUAAUGGAAACAUUUAUCUUUUGGUGGUAUCAUUCCUAAGACUCAUAUUCCUAACACUUGGGAACAUUUUUUGUUCAUGAGAUAUCACUUUUAUAGUUUCAUUUCCUUUGCAAUGUUUUUCACCAAAUGACUAAAA